rnacentral:lncRNA from 1 species
UGUAGUUACUAGAGUAGAAAAAGUAGUAGAGAUAAAGUUAUUAGUGAUUUAGUUUGAUAGAAAAAUCAUGCAGGGAGGAGAUUGAAAGAUAAUAGAAUAAUGGCUAACUAGAGCUAAGGAAAGUGGGGUAAUCAGUUUAGAAGAAUGUUGUGAGAAGAAUGGAGUUUUGUGUGAGAUAUAGAGUGAUGUUGAAGUAAAGGUGAGUUAGGUUAGGUUUGGAAUAGUCUUGACAGUGGUUAAUAUAGAGUGAAUAGGAUAGAGCGUAACUUAGUAUGAGUAGUAGAGAGAGAUAAAGAUUUGGGAGGAAGAAUCUUAUAGUUAGAAGAGAAAAAGAGAAGUUGAGAUAUGGGUUGUAAGAGAAGGAUUUAAAAGGGGGUUGGUUAUGUUUUGCAUGCAUGGUGUUUAGUAAUGUGAGAAAAAAAAGGAGAGGCAUUGAUAAGAAAAAAGUUCUUUUAACAACUAUUUUUUAACAACUUUAUUGUCAAAUGUAAAUAAGGAUAUGUUUCUGAAAAGGAAAAAGUCUCUUUAACAACUCUUUUUUU